rnacentral:rRNA from 1 species
ACUGGCUCAGGAUGAACGCUGGCGGCGUGCUUAACACAUGCAAGUCGAACGAAGCACUGAAGAAUAGAGAUUCGUCAAAGUCUCUUGACUGAGUGGCGAACGGGUGAGUAAUGCGUGAGCAACCUGCCCUUCAGAGGGGGACAACAGUUGGAAACGACUGCUAAUACCGCAUGACGUGUUCGGGAGGCAUCUCUUGGAUACCAAAGGAGAAAUCCGCUGAAGGAUGGGCUCACGUCUGAUUAGCUAGUUGGCGGGGCAACGGCCCACCAAGGCGACGAUCAGUAGCCGGACUGAGAGGUUGAACGGCCACAUUGGGACUGAGAUACGGCCCAGACUCCUACGGGAGGCAGCAGUGGGGAAUAUUGGGCAAUGGGCGAAAAAGCCUGACCCAGCAACGCCGCGUGAAGGAAGAAGGCCUUCGGGUUGUAAACUUCUUUUAACAGGGACGAAGAAGUGACGGUACCUGUUGAAUAAGCCACGGCUAACUACGUGCCAGCCGCUGC